UGGGGAAUAUUGCACAAUGGGCGCAAGCCUGAUGCAGCCAUGCCGCGUGUGUGAUGACGGCCUUCGGGUUGUAAACCUCUUUCAGUGCAGAACAAGGCUCUUUGUGGGUUGAGGGUAUGCGCAGAAGAAGCGCCGGCUAACUACGUGCCAGCAGCCGCGGUAAUACGUAGGGCGCGAGCGUUGUCCGGAUUUAUUGGGCGUAAAGAGCUCGUAGGCGGUUUGUCGCGUCUGCUGUGAAAUCCUCUGGCUUAACUGGGGGCGUGCAGUGGGUACGGGCAGACUGGAGUGCGGUAGGGGAGACUGGAAUUCCUGGUGUAGCGGUGGAAUGCGCAGAUAUCAGGAGGAACACCGGUGGCGAAGGCGGGUCUCUGGGCCGUUACUGACGCUGAGGAGCGAAAGCAUGGGGAGCGAACAG
rnacentral:rRNA from 1 species